AUGCAAAUGAUUAAAAAUAUGA
rnacentral:miRNA from 13 species